ensembl:lncRNA
UACACAUUUUUGUAUUUUUGAUUGAAUAAAUGUAGCUUUGGUGAGCUUAAAAAAACUUGUUUUAUAAAAAAAAAAUAUAUAUAUAUAUAUUUCCUUUUAGAUGAUUCUGAAGUGCAUUCAUUGGCUUUGUACUAAUUUAAUCUAAAAUGAAAUAUUUAAAUUAUAUUCUUAUGGUGUUUUUUAUCCUCUUCAGAGCUCGACAGCAUCUGUCUCCAUUGUGAAUAAGCACUGACUCUGCAACUCUCUGGUUUUUGUAGUCCACAGAAGAGAGGAAGUCAAUACGGGUUGAUUCAGAUAGUGCUGAAGCUCCGCCUGAAUAACAAGGUCGUUCUUCCACAAACUCCAGAAUGGAAGCGGUACUUUCCAGGCCCAGGGCGAUGUUCUGCUGUCUGGAGAUGUAAAUGCCAGGACCGGUUCUGAGUGUGACAGUGCUGGAUCUCUCGGGAAUAAACUCUCAGUCAAAACCGCUCCGUACCUGCUCUCCGGACUGAAACGGUAAUCAGAACAGGCAGAUUCUGCUGUGAGGAAAACUGGGUCUCUGCCGGAUCGGUGCUGGUUUUUAAGAGCCUCUCAUGCACUGCAGUAUUAGAGCGUUCACUGUAAGACCACAUAUAACGACAGCAGAAGAGCUCAGAUCGACAGAUAAAACACAAACCUGACGGAAACCACAGGAGAAGUUUUGUUAACAUCGCAAACUGUAAUUUCACAAAGACUGCAGUGUUUUCAGAAAGCCUUUUAGAAGCAGUGCGGUGUGUUUGGGAUGUAAAUUUCCAGCCGUUUCAUUUUAAUGCCAUUUCUUUGGCUUGAAGGCUUUCAUUUCCCUUUCAGAGCAACACUAAUGGUGUAAUUACAACAUGCUGCCAUAUAUGAAGAACUGGAGCAAAAACAGUGAAAUCCUUUCAAAAUGAAAAAACGUUACAAUAAACAGAUGUAAUCUGGCGAGCGAAAACAUCUACCGAAAUUGCAAAGUGCUGAAGAGAGACGCGAGUGCAAAUCUUCAAACAUGGCAAAAUGGCUCUUAAAAAGUGGAGACGUGUGGUAAAAACUACAAAAAGAAGCACUAUCAAAUAAUCUUUAUUCCUACG